AUCAGGAUACGUUUCACAAUGGCUGGGUUGGAUGCAAACGGACGAGGCUGGGAAUAGGAGAGGAGAUUCUACUGGUGGGCUGUGCCCUCUGUACCCAGGAAGGGAAAGGGGAAUUCGCUUCUCCACUACGUGUGAUGGCUUCUUUCCUCCAGAAUAUGGCCAUUCGCAGCAUCCUAACUUCUCUGAGGAGAGAGAUAAAGAGCAGACAGGAAAGGUCCAUAAAGAAUAGAGACAACUGUACAUUAUUUUUAUUAUUGAGUCUGCAAAAAAACAAC